AUGUACACUGGUGGGAUUUACAAACAAGAAAAAGAGCGUCUUACUCAAUUAAUUGAGGCACUAGAGUUAAAGGCGGAAGACGCUCUUCUUUCUGUUAAUGAGCAAAGAACCAAGUCCGAGGGUGAGCAAGGUCUACGAGCUCUCUUGAGAGAGGAGGAGCUCAAGUGGGCAUUGCGGGCUAAAACGCUUAAGGUUGUCCAAGGGGACGACAAUACACAAUUUUUCCAUAUGGUUGCAAAUGGCAAACAUAGGAAGAAGAAAAUCAUACAACUUGAACAGGAUGAGGGGACAAUAGUGGGACAUGAAAAUCUGAAAGCGUAUAUUUCGAAUUAUUAUAAGCAACUCUUUGGACCCCCGAAUACAAGCACGGUGACGCUCGAUGAAUCUGUGAUUGAGGAUAUUCCUCAAUUACAGACAGCGGAGAAUGAUAUUCUCUCUGCACCAUUUACUGAGAAAGAGGUUCUUCAGGCAAUAUCACAAAUGAAGCCGAAUAAAGCACCGGGACCAGAUGGGUUUCUAGCUGAAUUCUAUAAGAAAUGUUGGCAUAUUAUUAAAGAUGAUCUUAUGCCUAUGUUUCACGAUUUUUCAACGGUCAUUUGGAGUUGUUUCAUCUUAACUUCGGUACGAUAA
rnacentral:rRNA from 1 species